rnacentral:rRNA from 1 species
CGAACGGUGAACACGGAGCUGGCUCCUGUGGGAUCAGUGGCGAACGGGUGAGUAACACGUGAGCAACCUGCCCCUGACUCUGGGAUAAGCGCUGGAAACGGCGUCUAAUACUGGAUACGAGUAGCGACCGCAUGGUCAGUUACUGGAAAGAUCUAUUGGUUGGGGAUGGGCUCGCGGCCUAUCAGCUUGUUGGUGAGGUAAUGGCUCACCAAGGCGUCGACGGGUAGCCGGCCUGAGAGGGUGACCGGCCACACUGGGACUGAGACACGGCCCAGACUCCUACGGGAGGCAGCAGUGGGGAAUAUUGCACAAUGGGCGCAAGCCUGAUGCAGCAACGCCGCGUGAGGGAUGACGGCCUUCGGGUUGUAAACCUCUUUUAGCAGGGAAGAAGCGAAAGUGACGGUACCUGCAGAAAAAGCGCCGGCUAACUACGUGCCAGCAGCCGCGGUAAUACGUAGGGCGCAAGCGUUAUCCGGAAUUAUUGGGCGUAAAGAGCUCGUAGGCGGUUUGUCGCGUCUGCUGUGAAAUCCGGAGGCUCAACCUCCGGCCUGCAGUGGGUACGGGCAGAC